AUUGAACGCUGGCGGCAGGCCUAACACAUGCAAGUCGAACGGUAGCACAGAGAGCUUGCUCUCGGGUGACGAGUGGCGGACGGGUGAGUAACGUCUGGGAAACUGCCCGAUGGAGGGGGAUAACUACUGGAAACGGUAGCUAAUACCGCAUAACGUCGCAAGACCAAAGUGGGGACCUUCGGGCCUCACACCAUCGGAUGUGCCCAGAUGGGAUUAGCUAGUAGGUGGGGUAUGGCUCACCUAGGCGACGAUCCCUAGCUGGUCUGAGAGGAUGACCAGCCACACUGGAACUGAGACACGGUCCAGACUCCUACGGGAGGCAGCAGUGGGGAAUAUUGCACAAUGGGCGCAAGCCUGAUGCAGCCAUGCCGCGUGUAUGAAGAAGGCCUUCGGGUUGUAAAGUACUUUCAGCGGGGAGGAAGGCGGUGAAGUUAAUAGCUUAACCGAUUGACGUUACCCGCAGAAGAAGCACCGGCUAACUCCGUGCCAGCCGCCGCGGUAA
rnacentral:rRNA from 1 species